GACGAGGGAUCCUAGCGUUGCUCGGAAUCAUUGGGCGUAAAGCGGGUGUAGGUGGCUUUGCAAGUCAGGAGUGAAAGCCCACAGCUUAACUGUGGAAGUGCUUUUGAAACUGCUUAGCUUGAAUGUGGGAGAGGUUAGUAGAAUUCCUGGUGUAGUGGUGAAAUACGUAGAUAUCAGGAGGAAUACCUGUGGAGAAGUCGGCUAACUGGCCCAACAUUGACACUCAGACCCGAAAGCAUGGGGAUCAAACAGG
rnacentral:rRNA from 1 species